UUCGUCAGCUAAUGGGCUAAUCUUUUAUUUGCAGAACUAAGACUGCGUAAGUGACGAAAUAUUUUAUAGAAGCAUUUGGCACUACAGAUGUGAUUGAACAUGUAUGCACCGGAUCGGGGCUUCGGCAACGGUUGGGGGCUUAAGUGAACAAUCUGCAAAAUAUAUUUUUUUAACAAAAUUAGGCAAAAACUGAUAGAAUAGUGCUUCUGUCAGUUUUU
rnacentral:ncRNA from 1 species